UACAGAGGUCUCAAGCGUUGUUCGGAUUCAUUGGGCGUAAAGGGUGCGUAGGCGGCGUGGUAAGUCGGAUGUGAAAUCUCGGAGCUUAACUCCGAAACUGCAUUCGAUACUGCCGUGCUUGAGGACUGGAGAGGAGACUGGAAUUUACGGUGUAGCGGUGAAAUGCGUAGAUAUCGUAAGGAAGACCAGUGGCGAAGGCGGGGUCUCUGGACAGUUCCUGACGCUGAGGCACGAAGGCCAGGGGAGCAAACAGG
rnacentral:rRNA from 1 species